rnacentral:rRNA from 1 species
UACGUAGGGUGCGAGCGUUAAUCGGAAUUACUGGGCGUAAAGCGUGCGCAGGCGGUUUUGUAAGCCAGAUGUGAAAUCCCCGGGCUUAACCUGGGAAUGGCAUUUGGGACUGCAAGGCUUGAGUGCGGCAGAGGAGACUGGAAUUCCUGGUGUAGCAGUGAAAUGCGUAGAUAUCAGGAGGAACACCGAUGGCGAAGGCAGGUCUCUGGCUGGACACUGACGCUCAUGGCACGAAAGCGUGGGGAGCAAACAGG